AUCACGUGUUUGCGGUGAACCUGACGACGGCUUCAGAGGACUUUGUACCUCAGCUGAAGCUGACGUGGCGCUCCAAAGACGUGAGCAAGUGCACGGUCAGAGGGAAGAACAGCGACGAGUGUUAUAACUACGUCAAAGUGCUGGUUCCCCGAAACGACGAGACGCUGUUCGCCUGCGGCACCAACGCCUUCAACCCCA